CGACGCGGGGCUCCAGCUCACAAAACAGAUGGUGGAGACCAAGAGUGGGACGCUUGAGCCACUGAGGCCCACCCAGGAGCCCCGUCCCUGCGUUUUAAGUGCAGGGAACGAUGCUGAGCUCCAGGAAGCCCGGGGACAUGGCACAGGAGAUUGGCCAGGGCGACGGGUGGGACCAGAUCCAGAACAGCUUCACAGGCUGGAGGAGUGUCGGUGGGAUAGUGACCUGCUGGAUUUGGAGUUGUAGGAAGCACAAGGUGGAGGGCCACACCAUCAUGGUGAGGCCCUUCCUUUUUGUUGACUCCAGGAGCCACAGCCCUUCCCCAAUCCAAGUUCCAGCCAUCUGGGGCGGGGGGGUCUUCUGGGAGGCGCCAGGACAAAUACCGAGCGGGGAAUGCAACUAUGUUCUAGUAUUUGCGACCCUCAAAUGAGAAACCCUUUGGAGGAAAUUGAUGAGCGUCCACCCAAGCAAGAGAGCAGAGUUCAAAGCCGUUAUGAAGGACCGAUGGGAAAAUAUAGGGCAGGAGGAAGGACUCAGUCCUUAUGUGGAGCCAGGCCAUGACACCGAGGACCCCCCGGCUGCCUCAGGUAAUGACAGAGCAGAAGGCAAAACGUCCAGGCAGUCUCCCACCAGCCUAGAGCCCAGCCCUCUCCUGGAGCCUCAUUCCAGCCUUCUGCAGCUCCAGCAUAUUCUCAAAGCGGAGCCUUUUGACUUCUGUAGGAACCAGCAUCAUGAGAACCAUUAGCCCGGCCAGGUGUGACCCAUUCACCACAGACGCAGACACGCACGGCGAACGCUGGGAGCCAGGGAGCACGUCCCUAGAGCCAGAAAACCGCUGUGUAGAAACUGCAUACGAUUGAAAAAAAAGAGUUUUCAAAACAAUAAAAUAAAACCCAAAUGAGAGAGCCA